CAGCAAUUUCCGUAUCACUUAGUGGAGACCUAGAAUCAGCCAGGCCAGGACAAUGGAAUCAAUUCCAUCUGGUUGCUAUGGAGAAUCCAAUGGGGGGGGGCUACAGAGACAAGAACGAGGUCCGCCCUCCGUUGCUGGGACUUGGACUGCCUGAGGUCUCAGCAUCCAUGAAUGUGAGGCUGGAAGUUCCAAAUGAAGAGGUGGGGUGGAGGAGCAAAGCUUUAAGUGUUGGACAAAAGUCUUUAUGGUUGCUGUGAGGAGAAAAGUCUCUGCCAAUGAUGAAGCCGCCCAGGAUUCAGAAGUCCAGGACCCAAGAACUUCCUGAGUAAAAGGCUUUUGCCUAGCUGGUGUAGUCAUGAGUACCAAUGACCCCAGAAAGCUUGUACUUGUCUUAAUCUGUGUUGUCUUUGAAUUAUUUUGUCUCUAUCUUCUGUAUAAAACAG
rnacentral:lncRNA from 1 species